rnacentral:lncRNA from 1 species
GGCCCAGGCGGCGCCCGCCAUGAACGGGCUGUCGUUGAGUGAGCUCUGCUGCCUCUUCUGCUGCCCGCCCUGCCCCGGCCGCAUCGCUGCCAAGCUCGCCUUCCUGCCGCCGGAGGCCACCUACACCCUGGUGCCUGAGCCCAAGCCGGGGCCUGGUGGGGCCGGGACCGCCCCCUUGGGGACCCUGCGGGCCUCCUCGGGCGCACCGCACCCGGGCGCAGGAAGCUGCACCUGACGGAGCAUACCGACUUCCAGUACAGCCAGCGCGAGCUGGACACCAUCGAGGUCUUCCCCACCAAGAGCGCCAGCGGCAACCGCGUCUCCUGCAUGUAUGUUCGCUGCGUGCCUGGUGCCAGCUUCUACAUUGGCCUGGGCUCCCGCCUCCACUGCAACAUCUUCUCCUACGACUACUCCGGCUACGAUGCCAGCUCGGGCAGGCCUUCCGAGAGGAACCUCUAUGCCGACAUCGACGCCGCCUGGCAGGCCCUGCGCACCAGAGCAUCGGCACGGUGCCCACCGUGGACCUGGCCUCGCGCUACGAGUGUGCCGCGGUGGUGCUGCACUCGCCGCUCACCUCGGGCAUGCGCGUCGCCUUCCCUGACACCAAGACGACCUACUGCUUCGACGCCUUCCCUAACAUCGAGAAGGUGUCCUAGAUCACGUCGCCCGUGCUCAUCAUCCACGGCACGGAGGACGAGGUGAUCGACUUCUCGCACGGGCUGGCGCUCUACGAGCGCUGCCCCAAGGCGGUGGAGCCGCUGUGGGUGGAGGGCGCCGGGCACAACGACAUCGAGCUCUACAGCCAGUACCUGGAGCGCCUGCGUCGCUUCAUCUCCCAGGAGCUGCCCAGCCAGCGCGCCUAGCGGCGGCCCCAACCGGCCGGACCUCAGCAAUAAGGCGGCCCCCGGACCUCACCCCGCGCCGGCCCCCCAGGGGCUGCAUGUGGACCCCCCGGGCGGCCCGGGGGACCCCGCCCCGACCCAGGGGCUGUGGACGAUGUACAGGCAACAGAGCUACGCACUCCUUUCCUUUUGGAAGCAAGAAGAAAAUACGUGAAAACGGAAAUUAAAGAUUUAAAAU